rnacentral:rRNA from 1 species
CAGCAGCCACGGUAAUACGAGGGGAGCUAGCGUUAUUCGGAAUUACUGGGCGUAAAGCGCACGUAGGCGGCUUUGUAAGUUAGAGGUGAAAGCCCAGAGCUCAACUCUGGAAUUGCCUUUAAGACUGCAUCGCUUGAAUCCAGGAGAGGUGAGUGGAAUUCCGAGUGUAGAGGUGAAAUUCGUAGAUAUUCGGAAGAACACCAGUGGCGAAGGCGGCUCACUGGACUGGUAUUGACGCUGAGGUGCGAAAGCGUGGGGAGCAAACAGGAUUAGAGACCCCAGUAGUCCCUGUCUCUUAUCC